GAUGAACGCUGGCGGCGGGCCUAAUACAUGCAAGUCGAGCGAAGCGGGGACGGGUGAGUAACACGUAGAUAACCUCCUAUAAGGCUGGGAUAACUUCGGGAAACCGGAGCUAAACCGGAUACUUAUACAUGGAUCGACUCUGCAUUAGCUAGUGGGUAAGGUAACGGCUUACCAAGGCAACGAUGCAUAGCCGACCUGAGAGGGUGAUCGGCCACACUGGAACUGAGACACGGUCCAGACUCCUACGGGAGGCAGCAGUAGGGAAUAUUCCGCAAUGGGCGAAAGCCUGAUGGAGCAACGCCGCGUGAGUGAUGAAGGUCUUAGGAUCGUAAAGCUCUGUUAUCAGGGAAGCGGUACCUAAUCAGAAAGCAACGGCUAACUACGUGCCAGCAGCCGCGGUAAUAC
rnacentral:rRNA from 1 species